rfam:Myotis brandtii contig314309, whole genome shotgun sequence.
GGUGGUUCUUGGGUGACGCACCCCGGAAUAAGGCUGCUUUCUCUCUGGUUCUGGGUGUGUCACCUGAGAACCACA